rnacentral:rRNA from 1 species
GACAGAGGGGGCAAGCGUUGCUCGGAAUUACUGGGCGUAAAGGGCGCGUAGGCGGGAUGGCAAGUCGGUCGUGAAAUCCUUCGGCUCAACCGAAGAACGUCGAUCGAUACUGCUGUUCUUGAGGGUUGCAGAGGAGACUGGAAUUCCCGGUGUAGCGGUGAAAUGUGUAGAGAUCGGGAGGAACACCGGUGGCGAAGGCGGGUCUCUGGGCAAUUCCUGACGCUGAGGCGCGAAAGCGUGGGGAGCGAACCGG